UCCCAGCUGUCAGCACAGAGCCCGACGUGGGGCUCAAACCCAUGAACUGAGAGAUCAUGACCUGAGCCGAUGUCGGAUGCUCAACCAACUGAGCCACCCAGGCACCCCUAGAAAUUCUUAAUAAAGCAAGAAUAAUGAAUAGUUCCUCAUCAUAUCUUUAGUGGAAAACUAGGAUUAUGUUUAAUGGUGAAACCCUAGAAAGGGUCCCAGAUCUGUAGCAACAACUCAUGUCCAUCAUUCCAUGAAUAUUCACCAUUGCCCUGGAAGCACCAGCAAAUGUAAUGAGGUAAAAGGCAAUGAGAAGACAAAGUGCAUUCAUUACAGAUGAAAUGGGGGUAUACUUGGAAAAGCCAGAGGAUAAACUGAGCAACAAUUAGAAGCAAUACAAAGUUAGCGUGUGGCCACUAACCAAACUGAUACACAGAAAUAAUAGCCUUCAUGCAGACCUGGGGCUCCCGGCCAGAACGUAUGAUGGAAAAAAAGAUCCUAUUUUCAAAUGGCCACAAGAAGAUGAAAUGCCCAGGAAUAACCCCACAUGAAAGUAAAGGAAACAUGCAGAUGCUUCUGAGGAACAUGAAUAAAUGGAGAGACAUAUCUGCUGGGGAACGUCAUUGAAUGUCUGCCAGUUGACUCAAGAGCUGGACCUGGGCACGCACAGGCUCCUCGUCCCCUCCCCUAUCUUUGGAAUGUGGGUUCCACUUGCCUCUCCUGCUCCCAGAGGCUGCUCCAGGGACAUUGCUUUGAGAUGGUGACGUGGUGAUGAGAACACCUGCACAGUAUACAUGACGGAACCCAGGUAAGGCCUCUUUAUGAACUUCUAAGAUUCAGCAGGUGGACACCGGGAUCCACUGUCUUGUUGUUGCCCAAGACAAGCCUUGUCUGUAAGGUCUCUUUGUUUAUUAAACCUGCCACCUACCAACCUGGAGUGGCCUGCCUCUUUCUUUGGUCUCUCAGUGCCUUCCACAUAGAGGGGCUAGUUUCAGAUUACUCCCGGGAAGGUCCAAAGUGGGUUGCGAACCAACAGUAUCCAAUUCUUGGCUAGAAUGACUCUAUAUUUUAAUAUAGAUGUAAUUUUCCUCUACAUUAGUCCACACAAAUAUAAUUUGAUCCCAAUAAAAUCCCAAAAGGACUUGGGAAGGAGGAGUAACAAGCGGACUCUAAAUUUCAUAUGACAGUAGAUACCCUGCAAGGAUAUCAGGAGAAUUCUAAGAAAGAGAAAUGAGGAAGAGCAAUCCCUACUGGUUAUCCACACAAAAUAUAGAGCCCAGCAAUUAGAACUGUGAUUUUGGCAUAUAAAUGGACAGAACCUUUAGUAGAACAGAACAGAGUCCAGAAAUAGACCUACAUACAUAUGGAAAUUGGCUAUAUGGUAAAGGCAACAUUUCAGAUUGAGGGGGGAAAGGUUGAUUAUUCGACAAAUGUGCUGAGACAUUAGGGUUGCUAUCUGAAAAAAAAAAUCGUUGUUUUGCAUCUUAUCUCUUACUCCAAAAUAACUUCCAGAUGGAUCAAAGAGAGAUGAAAACACAUGGAAGACUGAAGUUAAAAAUAACCCUGAAGUGAGGAUGGCCUUUUAAAGCAUAUACUGACCUAGAAAUCACAAAAGAAAAGCUUGAUAAUUUUAACAACAUACAUUUUUUAAAAUUUCUGCACAGCAGACUCUAAAUAAAGCUUAUGACAACUGAACCUGAGAGAAAUGUUACAAUAUAACAAAAACAAAAGGCUAAUUGCCUUCCUCAAGAAAAAGCUCUUGAAAUCAUUAAGAAAAAGACCAACAAUCCAAAAGAAAAUGGGGCAAAGAAUAUGAACAGACAAUUAAAGAAAAAACAAGUUAAAAAAAUCUGGACAGAGACAGGACUAGGGUGAGGCUGAAGAAACGGAGGGAGGCGCUCGCUGUCCAGGUCACGCAGCACCGGCCCUACACCCAAAAUGUAUGUGCCUUGGGCUCAUAAAUUCAUUUUUCAUUGCUGCAUUACAAAUUACCAGGGGCUUAGUGGCUUCGAAGAACCCAUUAUUAUGUCACAGUUUCUGUGGGUCAGGAGUCCAUCACAUUUUUGCCGGGUUCUCUGCUCAGGUUCUCACCAGGCUGAACUCCAGGUGUCGGCCAAGGGCCGUGUCACAUUGUAGCUGAAGGCCAUAUCCUAAGCUCCUUCAGGUUGUUGGCAGAAACUAUUCUUUCUGGUCGUAGCACUAGGUCCCAGGGAUCUCAGGGUCCUCCUAGAGGCCUCCCCUUCCACCAGACAGUUCAUAGCAUGGCUGUGUACUUUCGGAAAUUCUCUAGAUGCUUCAUCUCCUUUGAAAGACUCCCCUGAUUAGGUCAGACCCACCCAGGAUAAUGUUCCUUUUGAUCAACUCAAAGAUAAAUGAUUGGCAACCUGGUCAUUGGAGUGCUAUUCCAUCAUAUUCACAGGUCUCACCCAUACUCAAGGGCAGGGGUGAAUGCCAGUGGAGUGGGGAGCCUUGGGAACCAACGUAGAAUUCUGCCCCUCAUACCUCACCCUGAUGGAGGUCCUGCUUUUAAAUAUAUGUAAGGAUCCUCAAUGUCACCCUUUACACACCUUCAUCCAGGCAGGUGUUUCAGUCCUCCAUAGUUGGCUGUGCCAUCUGUGAAAUGGGGAGGAACAUAGCUCCCAUCUGUUGGGCCUGUUGUAGGAUUUAAAUGAACUCGUGGGUGUGGUUUGCAGUAGACAUUGCCACAGAGGUGUAGGCAUUUCAUAAAUGGUAGGUACUAUGAUAUGUCACAUCUCUGGUUGGAAGCCUGAACGGUCGGCAGUGAUCACAGUUCUGGGAUCCUCUCUAACUGACAGAAUACCUCAUGUCCCAGGAGACUAAGCCAGAGGGGUACACAUGAAUUGAAGACAUAGAUUUGGACUCAAAAUAAAGAAUGCACACAGGAUCACAAAUAAAUGGAAACAGGCUCCUUGGGAAGGAAAUGGACCAAUAAAUAUUGAAGAGACUCAAUAAAUAUUUUUUUAGAGCCAGUUCGGUACAGCAAAGAGGGCAAGAACAUGCACUCUGUGGCCAGACUGUCCUGGGUGAAACAGGUUGUGACUGUGGGCAAGCUCCUUAGCUCUUCUAAACCUCAGUUUCCCCGUCUGUAGAAUGAAGCUAAGAAUAUUUUCUGCCUCUAACAGCUGUUAUGCAUGAACACAUGCCAAGUGCUGGAACAGUGGUCGAGGACAUCAGGCAACGUUACACAUUGUCAUCUGUUCUGGGAGUGCAAGUUCAUUAACAGCCAGAAGGCAAGAUCAUGGCAAAUGUUGUUUUCUACCUCUGUGGUUCUAUUCUGGACCCUAUAAGAAAUGUAGAAAGCUUUGGGCUUUCUUUCCGUCUAGAGGAAGAAGUGGUACUUGAGGAAGAAAAACACAGCAGCACCCAAACUGGAAAUCAUACAGCGAUCUUGGGAGUUCACUCAUCACUAAUUCAUUCAUUCAUUCAUUCAUUCAUUCAUUCAUUCAUUCAUAGUGCUUAUCCAGGAUCAAACCAAGACCUUGGCUCUGUGCUAGAUGCUGAUGUGGUGAUGAACAAAACACAGACAUAUGGUAAGUACAUGAACAAAUAAAUAUUUACAAACUGUGCUGGGAAUCAGAAAGGGAAUCGACAGGAUGCCAUGAAAGAGAAAGAGAAUAAUAAUAAUAAGGGGUGGUCAGGAGAGUUGGAUCCUGGGGAGGAAGAGUCAGAAGCAAGUCCAAGCAAGAAGCCCUGCACCAGAAGGAGCUGGGUGUGUUUAGAAACUGACCAAGGCUCAGUGCCAAGAGACGCGGCUGGGGACAGAUGCUAGGGUCCUUCAAGAACAUGGGCCCUUGAAGAACCCGAUACCGAGGGCAUUGAGAGGCCUUACCUUAUUUUAAUGGGGAAGUGUGACACAAUCUGAUUUAUGAUUGUAAAAGAAGCAUGCUUUCUGUGUCUGAACGGUUCUUUAUGAACUUCAGAGCUCACCUUCCAAAUUCCAGCUGCUGUAUAGCUUUGUCUGGGGGCUUUCUCCAGAUUCUAGGGAAUCCGUAUCUCCAGAAGCAGGCUUCAACCAAAGAUUGAUGGGAUAUUUGGCUAUAAAUGCUUUGAGUCCCUCACCUCUUGGUGGGCUAAUUCUGAACAUGUAUUUCAUACCAUUUCUCAGAAAUUUUCUGUGGAACUAAGCCCUCCCUAGUCACUCACAGUGGUGACCUACUUUAUAUCAUGCCCUUUAUUGAUUGUCUGUCCUCCCAUGUCACUUCCCAUCUCCCUAUGGGUGUUUCUUGAGAUCGUCUCCCAGAUAAACUACCGCACUGGAAUCCUAGACUCGGGGUCUGCCUGGGGGAGGUCUUCUGUAAGGAGACUGGAUUGGAGGGGACAUAAGUGAAGGGAGGGAGACAAAUCAGGGAGCUGUUGUGUUAGUCCAUGUAAGAAAAGAUGAUGGCCUGGGCCAGGAUGGGUGGCAGGUGAGGCUUUCUUGGAUAUCAACUCUUAGGGACGUGAAGACCCUUCAUAAGCAGAAGUUGCAGAAAGACUUUUAUGAGCCAACAUCACCAACUCUCAUCUGUCUGAGUUUUCCACAACUCGCCCACCAUCUAGCCAAUCACACACCCUCUCAGAGGAAGCACAGUGUGAGACAGAGGCCCUUUAAAAAAGAAAAAAAAGAAAUGUGCCCAACAACCCAGCACUUCCUACCCUGACUCUGGCCACUGAGUAGAAGGCUCUUUUAGGUCCCAGGCACAACUCCUCUCAGGUUGAAUUUGACUUACAGUGAAUGUGAUGGUCAUUAGCUUUUCCUGACCAUGCUUGGCUGUUCCAUCAUCACUGUCCCAGGAGGAGAAGGACUUUCUACCUUUUACCAGACUGAAUGCAACUCUGGCUACAGGUGGCCCCUGACAUUAAGCUGAGUUUUGUGAGCCCCACCCACCAAACACACAUACACACUCUUCCACCCACUUUGUCCACCUGAGUAGAAGCAGCUUCUCACUGAUCUAUUCAGAAGUGGUGGGCUCUCUCUUAGUCCUACUUCUUCCUAUGACACAGCCCGGGGUGCAGUGGAGGGUACCUACUCACUAUUAGUACUGUAUCUUUCCUAGAGAGACCAGCUUAUAAACUGAGAGCAUCCUCCUGGUCAUACUGGCCUCCAAAACAUGUUCUUGAUUUAUUCAUUAGGAGUAGAAGAUGCUGUUAGUAUCCCACCCCUACCCCCUGGCACUCACUAUUCCUGUACAUAUCGAUGGCUUUCUACGGAAAGUGCCGUGGCUCUCUGCCUUAGCCCCUUUCUGGCUGAAGGAUCCUGUUUGUCUGGCCAGCACAUGAGCCAGGCUGCUAGUGCCCCUAGGAGGUCAAUGCCCUUAGCAGCAGUCUCAACCUCUGACAGUUGGGAGAUAGGGGGUAAAUAGCCCAGCUUUGGCCCUUGAGUGAGACAACUCUGGUGCACGUUCUACACACUCGCUCAAAGUUCUCCACAGGAUUGAGCCCCACUUGCCCACAGCAGUGUUUGGGCGUCAUAUGGAGUAUAUGUGGGUGUAUGGUUCAUGUGAAUGGUAUGCAUGUGUGGGUGGCUAUGGAAUAUGUGGGGACAUAAGGUUCAUUUAGAAGUGUACAAUGUGGGCGUUUGGGGUAUGUGUAACUGAUUUCAUUUUUGCCCAACAAAUAUUUGCUCCUCUUUCCCUUCCAGUCUGGGCAGAUUGUACUUCCCUUCCCUGACAUUGACUUGCUUUGACCAACGGAAUACUAGAGGAAGUGACGUUAGUGGAGGCCUUAAAUGUGCUUUUGCAAUUUGGUUGAACUCUAGGGUUUCUUCCAUUUCCCAGGAGAAGGGUUUGCCCCGGGGAACUGGUGCCCCUUCAGCCGGCGCUCCAGAAUGAGACACCAAGGGCAGACGUGAACCCACCCCCUACAGCUUACAGCUAAGCUCAGUUGAGCCCAACUGACCCACAGACCCUGGAGAAAGAAUUAAAGAGCUGGUGUUUUAAGCCAUUGAUUUUAGAGACGUUUGUUAGCAUUAUUUCAGCAAUCACUAACUAAUGCAAGGUUUUAGAUGGGAUGUGCAACGCACAGGGUAUGAUUUGUGGGGAGUAUAAAGAAUGUGUAUGUGUGCAGUGCUUGUGUAUUUUGUGUCUGGGUAGAUGGUAUGUUGUGAUACACAGACACAAAAAAGCAAAGGUUUAUAUUAGACAAAACAAAACAAACAAGCAAACAUACCACAGAGUGGACUGUGCAUGGAGUUUGUGCUCAGUCCCCAGUCAGGAGGCACCUCAGGUUCCCGUGCUGGGAAACCCACAUCCUGAAGCCUCGCCUCCCUCUGAGUUGCCAGUGGCUUCUAGGAAGGCAGCGUCAGCCAGACAGGGGUGUUUGACUUGACUGGUGUUCAGCAAACCAAGGAAGAUGUGGCACAAGGCCAGCCAGGUAGCGUCAGACCACACACCCAACCAGCGUGUGCCUUGGCUGCCAAGACUUCCGUCCCUACAACAGGACCUGGCAGCUGAGGAAGGGUCCCACACCGCAACUCCAGGAGAUGGACAGAGGAGCUCUGUGUGGAGCAGAAGGCUGCUGCGUGCACUUCGGCUGGGGCUCUGCGAGGAGGCGCCUCCAGUCUCACGGCUCCAAGGCAUCCCUGCAAGGGUCCCCUCUUCCUGCCUCAUUCAUGGCCAGCUGAAUAGUGACUCUGUGAUUAAGAAGGUGAGCUCUGGAGGCAGACCAUUAGGCAACCAUUAGGCUUUGUGUCAACUUCAGCAGCCAUGACCUCCGGUCACAAAAUUCCUGAAAAUUUUAGCAGUCAGCUCUUGUAAGCCCACAUGAGCUGGUUCCAGCAUAGCACUGGAUGAAUAAAUGCAAAAGCAGAAAAAUAACGAAAACAGUGUCUCCGUAUGGAUGCCAAACUCUUCUUAGAAGUUGGAUGAGUCCAUCGAAAGAGGUUCCUAUAGACGGGCCUGAGGUGAAUCUGAAAUCGCGGCCAGGCUGCUUCCUGCAAAUCAGCCUUGUGAGCAUGGUUCUUCAUGUGUCCUCUCCUCUGCCUCUCUCAUCUUAAUGGUCCAGGUGGAACUGCUGGGCAACCACGGUCACCCUCAUCUUCAUAGCCUCUUUUGCAGACAAGACGAGAUAGAAACCUUGCUUCGCAGCUAUAUUUGUAUCGGUGCUUUCUGGGAUCUGCCACCCCUGGGCUCUCUCCUCCCCUCUCUCACGUCUCCCAACACUACUCUGCAUGAAAUUGACCGCUUUUUUACACAGCUCCCAAGGAUUCUGGUGUCUCCUGAGUUAGCCUUAAAAGGAAUUUUCAUUUCGUCUUCCAUUCUCUUUGUUGCUUUCAGAUGGUUUCCAGGAGACAGUGGCAAGUAUGCAGUUUAUGCAGCCACGUUCAUAGUAACAGGCCUUGGUGGCACAUUUGUAAGAAGAAAGGAACAUGCCCUAACAGAAUGCAGUGACUAGGGCAGGCCACAGAACAACCGACUUUUUCCAAUGUCUAUGGUCAGGAGCCACAGUACCCAAACAGCUCUGGGAAGUCCAAGAGUUUUGCUCCCUCUGUACAUUUUCACAAGAUCUAUUCACUAGCUUUGUGGAAACUGAAUGCCUCCUCCAGGUAUGCUGACCACUUAGCACCCCCAAGACACCACCCUUAAAGAGUGCCGUGGAACAGGAAGAGAGGUGGCCCACCUCCCACAGAUUUCUAGAAGUCAGAGAGAGGGGAAGGGAUCACUAGGUCAACCAGAAGUUCUCUACUUUAUAUAAUUUACUCACCAUCUCCCCUUUAUAUAAUUUACUCACCAUCUCCCCCACCUCUAAACAUGUCCCUCCUUCAGUUUCCAACCUGCUGAAAGGUAGCACCAUCCACCCAGAUAUCCAAGCCAGAAAUGUGGGCCUGAUCUCCACUCUACCCUUGCCUCUGCCUCCUAUAUCCAAGUCCUGCAAAUGUUCCCUCCUAAACAUCUCUUGAAUCAGUUCAGUUCUCAAUGGCCACUCUGUCUCCCUAGGCCCAGACACCCUCUUCUUUGCUAGGAUACUUAAUUGGUCUCUCCCUCCAGCUCUGCUCCUCUGCAAUCCACUCUCCACACACUGGGUCACAUCCUUCAAAGCCUCUUUGGAGAAGGUCUAAGUGCCUGGAGUGGUUGAGCCACACUGAAUGUCUUUCAUUUCCUAGACAGUGCCAGACCCUCUCUAUCUACACUUUACCCAUGCUGUUCCAUUGCCUGGAACACUCCUCUCCCUCCAUUCUCAUUAUUUAGGUCUCAGUUCAGACACUACCUCCCUGGGAAGCCUUCCACAGAGGCCUCUCAAUGGGCUGGAUGCCUUAGCUAUGUGCUCCCAUAAUAUGCUGCUCCUCCCUGAGCACACCCUUUCAUUCUUUACUAUAUUUGAUCAUUUAAAGUCUACUGAUUCACACAAGUGAGACAUUGGCUCAUGUGCUGUUGUGUCUUGGGACUAUCACAGUGCCUGCCACACAGGAAGCUCUGUAUGAAAUGGGCCCUCAGACAAGAGGGGUUUUCAGAGAGGGACAAACACCGCUCCUGGCCUAGGGCACUGCAUGUCUGCUGGUGAGAAGGGCUCCUCCAGUUCUGGGGUUCUUCCCUGCUUGGGGCUCCAGGAGCUUUCUCUCUAUGGAAGAUGCUUUUUGUGCCCCAUGUUAUGGUCCUCUUGGCCGACUGAUGACUGAUUCCAGCUGCCCCCUACAGUGGACAAUCCCCUUGCACACUGCCAGCUUCCCACCUCAAGUGCCUGAUUCACUCUCAAUGUUCUUGCCUGCUCUCAGGGAGGCACAGGGGAAGUUAAGGCCUUUGGUGACAACCCUCAGCCCAAAUGGGACAAAAGUCAGUGGAUAAAUGCCCAGUCUCCAUCAUUCAGAGGGACAAUUCUGAGAGGCAUUCUACAUGGUUCCACAGAAUGUCUCCAGUGGAAAUGAGCCUUUUUUCCAUAAAACAAAUGAUUCUUGUCACCCCCUAAGAUGUCUUUAUCUGAUAAUCCUUUUGACGUGAGAUUCUAAAUUUUGUCCUGAUUAGAUAUAUUUUAAUUUGGUCUUUAAUACUAUUUAAAAGACACACACACACACACACACACACACACACACACACACUACAUGCAUAAAUAAACACUGUGAAAAACCCAAGUAAUAUUAAGACAAUCAAACAAAAUGUGAACAUCUUUUCACCUCCCCAGAGGGGAGCUGCAGUCAACAAUCUGGAUGUACCAUUUUCCUAGGUCUGUUUCUUUUCUUUGCAUCGAUGUUGAUUUGCCAUAAUCAACAUCCACAGACUUGACGGCUUCAAACAUCAGAAAUGUGUUCAGUAUCAGUUUCACGAAGGUGAAAUCCAGGUGCCAGCAGAGCCAUGCUCCCUGUGGAGGCUCUAGGGGAGAACUCGUCCAGCUUCUGGAGGCCGCUGGCAUUCUUCCGCCUGAUUGAUGCGCCAUCACUCUGAUUUGUGGCCAUUGUGCUCCUCCUUCUCUGUGUGUAUCAGAUCUCUCUUUGCCUCCCUCUUAAAAGAACACAUGUGAGGUCACUGGGGGCCUGCUUGGAUAAUAGUCUCCAGGAUAGGCUCCCCAUCUCAAGAUGCUUAACUGAGAUAUGCAGAGAGUCUUUUUUUCCAAAUAAGGUAACAGUCACAGGUUCCAGGGAUUAAGAUAUGGAUGUCUUUUGGGAGAUUAUUUUUUCGUCCACCAUAUGUGAUAAUUAUUUUGAGCAUAAAAGAGAAGACCAAUCCACAACUUGCCUGUUGACAUAACAAUAUGUCCUGAAGCUUUUUCUGUAUCUGUCUAUGUAGAGUUACUUAACUUGCUGCAUAAUAGUUCACAGGGAGAAGAUGCCAUAAUUUCUUUAAUUGUUUCUCUACAGGGAGAAUAUUUAGAUCAUUCCCAAUUUUUAUUAGAGCCAAACAGUGCUGCACCGACCACACAGGACAUACAGCUCUGGGGAAACUAUGAGGAUUUCUAUAGAGGAGACACCAAGAAAUGAAACCAUUGGGUCCCACUUCUUACUGAUACUAACUUUUCAUCGUGUAUCAGUUAUUAUCUCCUUUAAUCCUCAUGCAGAUGAGGGACAUGGGAAUUAUUUCAUUCCUAAUUUACAGCUGAGAAAACAGAAAGAUCCAGAGUGCUAACAUUUGCCCAGGGUCCCACAAUUGGCAAGAAUACCAAUAUUUUUAAUUAAAAUGAAAAAGAGAAAUGGGCAGAGGAAAAGAAGUCUGUUUGGGUUUUUUUUCUCUUCUAAAAAGAAAAAUAUGUUUUCAUGUUGGAUUCAUAAUCUGUAUUCUUAAACUUUUGGAUACUGCUAGAGAAAAAUAAAUCAUCUUUUAAAAAAUGUUUGAAGAAGGCAGACUGUUUUGAUCCUCUUUUCGGCCUUACUUGGCUUCCGACAACCUGGGGAAAGUUGGCAAUUGUGCGGUUGUGCACAGAGAAAGUUCAAAACGGCCGUGAGCAGAUGUCCCCACAGGGCCACCCAAGUAAAGCUUUGGGAAAAGAAAAGCAGCUUUGAUCAAACUGAAAAAACUCUCUGGGAAGAGAAAUAUCCAGCUGAAUAACAAAGAGUACGGUAGAGAAGGGGAAAGGGGAAUGAAGCAAGAUACACUAGAAAGUCCGCUGACGGGACCCAACCGACGGAUGCCCUUGCUACACACUUGCCAGCUGAGCCCGCCCCCAAACUCCCCAUCCAAAACACACACACACACACACACCAUCUUUUCUGUUCUGCAGUGAUGCUGGCGGCCUGGAAAGAGGAAUGGCGUGACCUUCACUGUCUAUUUCUACAGCUGCUCUAUUUCUCCUCCCCUCCGCAAACCUCCAUUCCUCACUCUUUAUUCCUUGGAGAAGAUGCCCGCUGGCCUGGCAGUCAUGUCCACUCACAGCUGCAGAGGAAGAGGACUGAAAAAAAGGGGGAAGCUAAACAGGAGGAUUUGGGGAAAACACAGCUGAGUUCUAAAUCAGUUUCUGCCCUUUUGAGCUGUGUGACAAUGGGCAAGUUAAACAACCUCUCUGCCCUGUUUCCUCAGUCACAAACUGUCAGAGAAUGAGAUAAUUCCUCUCUACAAGGACGGCCAUGAGAAAGAAAUGAGUCAAAAUAUGUAAAGGGUCUACUACAUGCUUUGGUACAUUUAUUUUUAUUUGUUUAUUUUUUAACGUUAAUUUAUUAUUGAGAGACAGA